CAGGGGCCCCUUCCCUUGGCGUGGCCCAGCCUCGUGCUGACCCAUUAGGAUUUUUCCAUCACUCCUGGAGGUCACACCUUCACUGGUCAGGAGCCUCUCAAGGAGGGGGGAUAGUGAUUAAUGUUUUAUGGACGAGCUGCUGGGCAUGAUGCCUUGUUUUCUUUAGGUUUAGAAUACAAUGAAGACGAUGAAUGGAAUUUGCUGUGAGCUGGGGGCCGGGGUGGGGCAAUCCUUAGGGGCUGAGGACCCACAGGUGGUGAUGUUUACUGUCCUUCCCUUAGUGCUGAAAAGGGGGUAAUUCUGGAGGUGGGAAAGGCCGGUGAGGUUUUUGCCUGCGGGGCCAUCAUCCCCAGACCUUAAGUGACUGUUGGUUCCCACCAACACUUUGGGCUCUGGGUGUGCAGAGAGGCCACUGGUGAAGUGUACCCCCAAAUUUUAAUGAGCUCGUUCUGCUCAGGUGAUUCUACUUCAUCCCGAUAAAAUCACGUUCUCCGCAUAUAGGAUUUUGCUUAUUUUUCUGUUCUUUCCAGUGUAUUGAUGGGGAACGAGAUGAGGACAAACUGAUCUCCAGCCAUAUGGGUCAGUAGGGUCUCACCACUUCUUAAAUAUCAAAAUGCUUUCAUCUAUUCGGAGCUCUUCAUGUACCCCUCCUCACAUCUGGCCUCUCUGACUACCCUGUGCCUUCUCUCAUCCCUCGUCUCCUGUGGACCUCUCCAUAGCCCAGCGCUUAAAAGGUUAACCCAUCAGUCGGGGGCCUCAAGGACCUUAUUUAGCACUGAAGUUGUGGGGUAGUUCUGCUGGAUUACCACGUGUGGCUGUUAUAUACUUUGUAUAUCGUCUCUAGUAAAGAGAGAAAUAUACAAUGCAUAUAUACAGAGGUCUAAGGUCUAAGUUAGAAAGUGUGGGUGUGUGCGCGCGCGCGUGUGUGUGUGUGUGAGAGAGAGAGAGAGAGAGAGAGAGAAGUAGAGACAGAGAGAGAAAGAGAGAAUGCACUCCUGUAAUACUACUAUAUUUGGAGUCGUCCUCUGAUCUGUCCUGAGAACCUUCGCAGCAAUUCUCACUCAUGGGAGAACCAUGGCGCAGCUUUGGCAGACAUUCCUUGGGAAGCCAGACACUGGGAGGUGAGUUCCAUGCUGAAGAAGAUGUGGUGAGGGUUGAGCCGGGUUCGUGUCUCGCUGGCUCAGGACGUUGACCAAGGCUGGCUUUGGAGAGGCAGCCUCUCCUGUGGUCACAGGGCACACGGCCCCUUAACCUCAGCUGGCCACCUGGCAUUGCUGGCUGUCAAGCGGGCGCCUGCGACUCUGGAAUAAACACUCAUGAUUUCCUACAUUCACCCUCGUUUCUGGGUCUCACAAAGACAGGGCAGUGCAGGCAUUUCCCAGGCCUCUGGACACCCGGAUCUUUUUGUCUCCUGCCUCACUUCACUCCUCUCGCCUGCAGACCUGAAGAGGUGUCUCUGUUCCAUACCCUGUGAGAAGAUUCCUGGGCUCUAGGGAGAGGAUGGCUCUGUUAAACUAUUCGUGAAGUUCCGGGAGUCACUGAUGCGCCUGGAUCGUGACUGAUGGGCCAGUGGCACCUUCCAUCCGAGACGAACUCCAAGAAUUUCCGCUGCUGGCGGUGACCUCCCGGACUGGGAGGAUCAGCUGCAUCUGCCUCCAGGAAUGUGGGACCUAGAGACACCAAACCUAGGAAGGCCUCCAUGGGGCCCGAAGCUUUAGUUCUAGAAAAUUCCGAGGGCUCCUAGCUCCCCCGCCCAUUCCUCCUUCUCCCUAAAUGUGAAGUCACCGCAGGCUGCCCUUGAGAUUUUCUGGAAAUGGAAAAUGAGAAAUCCUAGAGAGUUAGAUUUGAAACCGAAUUUAGUGGCCGUGGGGAUUUUUACCAGCCGGUGCUAUCCACAUGCUUGACCAAGGGCUGGGUGAAUGGCUCAGGUAGGUCACCUGAGCUUAGAUGGAUCACCUGCUCCCUCUGGUCCUUGCAGAAUGGGAACCCCAGCUCCUGGAGCUGUUGACUGGUUUUCACGGUGAUUAGGCUAAGUUUGGAGACCGUAUCACUCAUCACAGAAAUUAUAGUAGAGGCUCUGACAAGGCCUGCAAUUAAAAACACACUUAUUUAGGCCAGUGUUCACCAAA